CCUACGGGUGGCUGCAGUGAGGAAUAUUGGACAAUGGGCGGAAGCCUGAUCCAGCCAUGCCGCGUGCAGGAUGACGGUCCUAUGGAUUGUAAACUGCUUUUGUACAGGAAGAAACCCUUCUUUGCGAAGAAGAUUGACGGUACUGUAAGAAUAAGGAUCGGCUAACUCCGUGCCAGCAGCCGCGGUAAUACGGAGGAUCCAAGCGUUAUCCGGAAUCAUUGGGUUUAAAGGGUCCGUAGGCGGUUUAAUAAGUCAGUGGUGAAAUACCUUCGCUC
rnacentral:rRNA from 1 species